GGGUGAAAUGUAUGCUUUUUAAUUCGUAUAAUUUCAUAUGUUCUACUUGUCAUAGAAAUCCAUUCUAAAGUGAGCUACCCUUGGGGCACUGUUGUGGCAUUUUAACCAUUUACACGAGGUGAAUUGUCAAAACUAGUUUGGAGACUGGGCUAACGUUUGUCCCUCAUUUCUCCAUAUAAGAUUGCAUCAAGCGCCUUUUAGUGAAUAUGACCAUCGUAUAGAUUGACUAUGAGAAAUGAGAUCACUUAGAACUGGAGAAGAACGAGCCCUGUAUUCUGUUGCAAUUCGGAAAUCUCAUUAAACGAAUGAGAAGUGCUUGAUGUUCUUUUUAUCCUUGUAUAUAUGUAGAUAGAUUUCCAGAUGGGAUCUGAUAAUUAUGCAUCUUGUGCUUGACUUGUUCCUGGAUAUACUGUUGAUUUGUGGAGAAGGGACUGUUGCGAAGUAAUGGGAGAUUGGGAACUAAACCCUUUUAUAUUAGCGGGGGUGUUUAAUGUGGUGCUGAGUACCUGUGGAGGGCUUAGGUGCUUGAUGACAUGUUAAUUGGAAUCUUCAAAUCAUGUUUUCUUUUUUUCUUAUUCCUUUCACCUAUUUUUUUCUGUUGAUAUCUUGUUACGUAACAUGUAAAGAGGAUCCUUGUCACUGAGCCUACUUAUUGGCUAAGGCCCAGCUGCUGUUAUUGUUACAUUCCCCAAUCCCAUAUAAUAUAUUGAAUGAUUAUCAUGUAUUUUCCUGCAUUGCUAUCCAUGUUUAACCUCAGUAUUGUUCAAUUAUUGAUGUUGACCUUCAAGUUACUGUCAAAUACUACUCAAUGCUGAUGCAUCAUCUUGCUUCACUGUACCUAUUCCUCGCUUUGGCAAAGAUCUAUUAAGGCCAAUGAACUCACCCAAUGUAGCUUGUCUUGGACAAAUUAAGAAAACAUUAUAGAGCAGUUAAUACGGUUUAGCUUGUAUGCCAAUAUACUGAAUGCUCAGUUAUGCUUAUAUUGCAGGAGAUCACUGAGUUUUCGUGAAGUGUAUGUCGCACUGUGUUGUUUACCGGGCAAUGGAUGUUUGUGGGCUUCCUGGAGCAAUGUAGGCGGGUUGCAUUCACAUCAAGGGCCCUUUGAGGAAGCAGAGUACAUAGUCUUGUGUAUACUGUCACUGUAUAUAUCUGAUGAACACAGAUAGAAGCAGCUGUUUCUUUCUUUCAUUCUGUGAGUGCAGACUAGUUCCAACACCAAUUUUUUUGACUCCUGUACCUUAUAUCAGAAGGACCUGUCUUUUAUCCGCUGUUAGUUUAUGAAAGACCCCAAACAAUAUGCUUUUGGUCA